rnacentral:rRNA from 1 species
CCUACGGGCGGCAACAGUGAGGAAUAUUGGUCAAUGGGCGAGAGCCUGAACCAGCCAAGUCGCGUGAGGGAGUACUGCCCUAUGGGUUGUAAACCUCUUUUGUCGGGGAGCAAAAGCCGGACGUUUCCGGCUGUGAGAGUACCCGAAGAAAAAGCAUCGGCUAACUCCGUGCCAGCAGCCGCGGUAAUACGGAGGAUGCGAGCGUUAUCCGGAUUUAUUGGGGUUAAAGGGUGCGCAGGCGGAUUUUUAAGUCAGCGGUCAAAUCGUGGGGCUCAACCCCAUCCAGCCGUUGAAACUGGGGAUCUAGAGUGUGCGAGAGGUAUGCGGAAUGCGUGGUGUAGCGGUGAAAUGCAUAGAUAUCACGCAGAACCCCGAUUGCGAAGGCAGCAUACCGGUGCACAACUGACGCUCAGGCACGAAAGCGUGGGUAUCGAACAGGAUUAGAUACCCGUGUAGUC